AGCUGGCCUGAGUGUGGUGGUGUUUGCAACUAAUUGGCCACAACCAGUUACAGAUUUCUUUGUUCCUUCUCCACUCCCAUUGCUUCAUUUGACUAGCCUACA
rnacentral:Y_RNA from 1 species